UUUCCGUAGGUGAACCUGCGGAAGGAUCAUUAAUGAGUUGUCAUGGGGUUCGAUGCUGGCAGCCAGUUUUUGGAUGCAUGUGCUUGCCCUAACAAUCAUCUUCUUCCAAACACCUGUGUACAUUUUUGAGGGAGUCUUGAGUUGGUUGCCGCUCUUGGGUGAUUUUCUCACAUUCCCUUAAAUCAUUAUACGCUAUUAACAAUGUUGAACGUGCUCUGUGCCGCGAGGCUAUUAAUAUAAUACAACUUUUAACAACGGAUCUCUUGGCUCUC
rnacentral:misc_RNA from 1 species